CCCUGUAAUUCACACUGCUGCUGGGGUUCUGAGCCGACUGCCCAGCAUCCCUGUAGCUCACCCUGCCACUGGGGAGGGAGGACGCUGCUCUCCUCUCCCUGCAAGGUACACUGCCGCUGGGGGACAGGACCAACUGUCUCUGCCCCCUGUAACUCAGCCUGCCGCUGGGGAAUGGAGCCUGGGCUCCCAAUUCCCUGCAAUAUACUCUGCCGCUGGGGAUCUGAGCCGACCGCCCAGCAUCCCUGUAGCUCACCCUGCCACUGGUGAGGGAGGACGCUGCUCUCCUCUCCCUGCAAGGUACACUGCCGCUGGGGGACAGGACCAACUGUCUCUGUCCCCUGUAACUCAGCCUGCCGCUGGGGAAUGGAGCCUGGGCUCCCAAUUCCCUGCAGGAUCGGUGGAGAGACCUCGGUCCCAUCUCCACCAACCACCUGGGGUUCUUCCCUGUAAUACUCUGCAAUAUCUACCCAGCUGAAUGGGUCUGGAUCUGGG